UUCAAAGUGGUUGUUCCCAAUAAUGUGCUAUUUAAAAAAAUAAAGUAAAUGCCAAAAUUAAUUAUUUGGACAUUUUAAAUAGGCAUAUAAAAGAUUUAAGUCAUAAAAUGCAAUGAAAACUAUUUCCAUGAUUACUUGAUUAAAAACUAAAACUUUCAACACAUUCAUGGCACCCUAUUUUAAAAAAAAUAAUUUUUGCUAUGAGAAUAAAACAAAAAGUAGCAAAUAGAGUAGGGUCAAGGGGGUAAAAAUGAGACACCAAAAUCUUUCAGGUAAAAAUAAGACAGCUCGUCCUGAUAUCUAUUAAACAAUUAUUAAAGCAGCACCAUAUUUCUAGCAAAGAUACAAACCUUAACUUUAAAAUAAUCUCUAAUUUGUAAGAAAGAAAUCUUCUCUAGGGGUUUUUACCAUCAGCUGAAAAAUGUGUCAAAAUUAGGCGCGAAAAACACAUGUUUCAUAUUGAAGUAAACAAAUAGCAAUCCUGAAGUGUAUGAACUGUUUAUGUUUUCUGUGCUUUGUUUAGUAACUGUACAGUGAUUUCCUGUGCAUUAAGUGCUGGGUAACAUUAAAUUAAUCGGAUAAACAGAAACUAGAGAUAAAAUGAAAAAAAUCUAUAAGCCAAAGCCAAAACAAUUUACAGAGGAAGACUUGCAGGCUGCCUUGCAAGAUAUUAGAGAGAACAAAAUUUCAUUACGCACUGCACAAAAAAAAUAUCACAUAGACAAAAGCUUAUUAAGUCGAAGGCUAAGGGGAAUUGAAAAGAAGAGCGCGCAGAAAAACAGCACUAUCGAAAGAAAUAGAGGAUGACUUAACUAACCUGGAAAAGAUUGGUUUGUAUUUUUCUGCCAGCAAAAUCGGUUCAGUUUGAAAAAACUAGAGCAGCUGGAGGCUUGUCGGUAUAAAGCAACAUCUGAUCCCUUUAUUAUAUAUCAUUUUUACGACAUCUUGGAAGAAACAAUAAAAAAAUACCAUCUUGAAAAUAAACCUGACUCAAUUUGGAAUUUAGACGAGAUGUAUUUUUCAAGUGACCCUUCAAGAAUUAAAGGAGUUGCCGGAAGAGGACAGAAAGAUAAGGAUUUAAAAGACACAAUAUAUGCAUGUUCCAAAAAAGGAUGGAUGACUACCGAAAUAUUUAAUGAAUGGUUCAUUAAAUUCUGCGAAAUAGUUACGCAAAGACCGUUACUUAUAGUGCUGGAUGGACAUAUAAGUUAUUUGGAUCCUCCAACAAUUCAGUGUGCUAUUAGGGAGAAUAUAGUUUUGUUAAAACUACCUCCUCAUACGACAGAUGUCUUACAACCAUUGGACAGAAACUGUUUUGGACCCUUAAAGCUUAAAUGGAAUGAAGCUCUAAUUGUUUGGCAAAGAACUAAUAGAAAUAAAUUAAGUAAGUCUGAAUUCUGUAACUUCCUUUGUUCAGUAUGGGAAGAGGGUAUAACAAAAAACAAUGUUAUAUCGGGUUUUAAUUCAAGUGGAAUUUUUCCUUUCACCAGAGCCAAAUAUCACGUGGCACGGCUAGAUAAAGAUAAACUAGAUAGAUAUCAGGACCUAAAUCCAAGAGAGAACCCCUAUAGUAUUGUAGAACAUUUACCAACUGAACAAAACGUAUUAGAGGAAGCAAGAGAAAAGCAACCUGGUAAUCAAGAAUACAUUGUAGUUGAGAAAGAUAUUUUAGAAAGAGAAGGUAGUAGUGAUGAACAAGCUGACGAAACAAAUAAAGAAAUCCAAAUGAAAAACAGAGAAAGUGCAAUUUAAGAACCUCAAGCAGGUUGCAGUUCAAUGAAUGUUGAAUUAAAAGUUUCAAAUGAAAAGACAACAGAUUCUAAAAGAGAAGUUUCUUUUCAAGAAAUAUUGCUUGGUCGCUUUUCAGUUACAAAAGGAUUGGAAACAAAGAAACAUAGAAAAAUGGAUAUGAGUGGCUGUGUCAUAACAGAGGGAGAAUUCAGUAGAAAAAUUAUAGAAAAAAAUGAAGUAAAAUAUAAGAAUAAAAACGUAGUUAGAAAAAGUAGUGGAAGCAAAGGUAAAAAUGUGGCAAAAUCAAAGAUUAAUAAUAGAAAAAAAUAUGAGUCCAGUUCAAGUGAAUCAGCAGUAACUGAAUGUACUGCCAGUUUAAGGGAUAGUAAUGAUGAUUAUGACCCUUUUAGUGUUGACGAAUUAGAAGUUAAUAGUGACACACGAGAAAAAAAAGAGAACCUCUAUUCAGCUGGAGAAUUUGUUCUUGUCAAAUAUUUGGGUGGAAAAACUAAACAACAUAUUUAUAAAUAUGUUUCAAUCAUACAAAAGAUUUAAGACAGUUGAAAAUUACGUUAAUGCGAUAAAUGAAGAAGAUAUUGUUAUGAAACUGCCUCUUCCACAGCUAGUUCUUACAGGAACUAGGGUGCAUUAUAUUUUUCCCAACCAAGUUGAUGUGUAUGAAAAUUAAGAAAGCCAAUUAAGUGCUUAAAAAAACUAGUUAAUUUAUUUUUACUUACCAAGGAACUUUGUUUUUGAGUUAGGUACCUAAUGUGUUAUUUCAUGUAAAAAUUACACAUUAUUCAUUUGUUUUUCAUAUUUAUUAGAAUGUUUCGUUAUUUUGCUUUAAAUUAUAAAAAAAUGAAAGGUUGAUUCUUCAUUAAAAAAAAAUAUACCUAUUGUCUUUUUUUUACCCCAUACUGUCUCAAAAUUAUCACUACACGGAACGUUCGUAGUUAAUAACGCGAAAUAAACCGUGUCUUAUAUUUAACCUGAGGUGUCUCGUAUUUAUCCGAAUUCAAAGGUAAAAAUGAGACACUUAUUUUAAUAAAAAUAAAAUAGAUAUAUGCAUAUUAACAUAAAAAUUAUUGUGAAAGUGAUACCUAGAUGAUUUAUUUUACGAAAUAUAUAUGUUGAAAAGAAGAAAAAUAGCUUCAGAAAUUCAAAAGUUGUA